AUUGAACGCUGGCGGCAGGCCUAACACAUGCAAGUCGAACGAGUGGCGGACGGGGGAGUAAUGUCUGGGAAACUGCCCGAUGGAGGGGGAUAACUACGGGAAACGGUAGAUAAUACAGCAUACCAUCGGAUGUGCCCAGAUGGGGUUAGCUAGUAGGGGGGGUAACGGCUCACCUAGGCGACGAUCCAUAGCUGGUCUGAGAGGAUGACCAGCCACACUGGAACUGAGACACGGUCCAGACUCCUACGGGAGGCAGCAGUUGGGAAUAUUGCACAAUGGGCGCAAGCCUGAUGCAGCCAUGCCGCGUGUAUGAAGAAGGCCUUCGGGUUGUAAAGUACUUUCAGCGAGGAGGCGUUACUCGCAGAAGAAGCACCGGCUAACUCCGUGCCAGCAGCCGCGGUAAUUC
rnacentral:rRNA from 1 species